UGCCAGCCGCCGCGGUAAUACGAAGGGUGCAAGCGUUGUUCGGAUUUAUUGGGCGUAAAGCGGGUGCAGGUGGAUAAGAAAGUCAGAUGUGAAAUCUCGGGGCUCAACCCCGAAACUGCGUCUGAAACUCCUUGUCUAGAAUCUCAAAGAGGGAAGUGGAAUUUCGCAUGUAGGAGUAAAAUCCGUAGAGAUGCGAAGGAACACCAGAGGCGAAGGCGGCUUCCUGGCUAUUUUCUGACGCUGAGGAGCGAAAGCUAGGGGAGCAAACAGGAUUAGAUA
rnacentral:rRNA from 1 species